rnacentral:rRNA from 1 species
AGUCACUGACAUUAGAUACCCCCUGUAGUCCCAGCCCUAAACGAUGCGCGUUAGGUGUAUCGGUGACCACGAGUCACCGAGGUGCCGAAGGAAACCGUGAAACGUGCCGCCUGGGAAGUACGGCCGCAAGGCUGAAACUUAAAGGAAUUGGCGGGGGAGCACAACAACGGGUGGAGCUUGCGGUUUAAUUGGAUUCAACGCCGGAAAUCUUACCGGGACCGACAGCAACAUGAAGGCCAAGCUGAAGACUUUGCCGGAUUAGCUG